GUAGGGAAUCUUCCACAAUGGACGCAAGUCUGAUGGAGCAACGCCGCGUGAGUGAAGAAGGUUUUCGGAUCGUAAAGCUCUGUUGUUGGUGAAGAAGGAUAGAGGCAGUAACUGGUCUUUAUUUGACGGUAAUCAACCAGAAAGUCACGGCUAACUACGUGCCAG
rnacentral:rRNA from 1 species